GCGAUGUGUCAACUGACGAAGACCCUCUUUUACAGCAAGAUCUUGGUGACCAAAGCAGAAUAAACGUAAUAAGGAAUAUUAAUACCUACGCAAGGACCAAGACUUUAGCUCAAGGUUUUCUGGACAUGGCUCUCUUCACCGCAAACGCCUCACAAAUGAAACAUCUUCUGGAGCAGGGAACCGACACGCCGUUUUACUAUUUCCUUUUCACUCUGCUGUGCAUUUCAGUGAUCCUGCAGCUAAUAGUGGCAGCGCUGCUGAUCUACAAGGGGUCCAAGAACAUAGAGUGUGAUGAUCCGGAGCGCAAGCUUAGCGACAG